CCAGUGCCGACCCCAACCGGAGCCCUUUCAGCAGAGUCUCCCUUCUCCCACCCCUACCCAGUUCCACGUUAAUGUCCACACUUUACCGGCACCGUGACAUCCUCUUGCAGCCUUCUGAUUCUCUUCUCUGUGCCUCGUCUCUCAACUCUGCUGUCUCACAGCUUGAACUCUCCCUAUCUCUGGACUGGAUCUCUUGGGUCGCUAAGGGACCCUGUACCUCGGGGCUGCCUCCACCAUCUACCAGAAUGUGACAAGGGAGACAAUAAUGGCCACCAUGCUUGAUACUAAGAGGGCUACACUUCAGAUAUUCAUUAGCACCUGGAAAGACAUCAGCCCACUAUCGAGAGAAUCAGGUGCCUCAUGUGCCAGCCUGAGGAGGAGUAUUUUUCAAGCCCUGGACCCAGCGCUGUGCCAAGGCAGUUCAGGGAGGAGCUGACUGUCUUGGAUAAGGACACUGAAAUCUGAAACGAAAGCCUGGAUAAAUUCAGUCCACUGACUGAAGGAAAAAAAUGAGAAAGUUCACAGUGCAGAGUCUGUUCCUGGGAAGGGCUGGACCAGCAGAGGGCACUGGGGCACCAAGGAUAAGUUUGAAAAGUCCUGUGGGCUUGAAACACCAGGAGAAGAAAGGACAGAUAGCGGG
rnacentral:lncRNA from 1 species